UACGUAGGGGGCUAGCGUUGUCCGGAAUCAUUGGGCGUAAAGAGCGUGUAGGCGGCUUGGCAAGUCCGCUGUGAAAACUCGAGGCUUAACCUCGAGACGUCGGUGGAAACUGCCUGGCUAGAGUCCGGAAGAGGAGUGUGGAAUUCCUGGUGUAGCGGUGAAAUGCGCAGAUAUCAGGAAGAACACCUAUGGCGAAGGCAGCACUCUGGGACGGUACUGACGCUGAGACGCGAAAGCGUGGGGGGCGAACAGG
rnacentral:rRNA from 1 species